rnacentral:rRNA from 1 species
GACGAACGCUGGCGGCGUGCUUAACACAUGCAAGUCGAACGCUGAAGCUCAGCUUUUGUUGGGUGGAUGAGUGGCGAACGGGUGAGUAACACGUGAGUAACCUGCCUCCUUCUUUGGGAUAACGCCCGGAAACGGGUGCUAAUACUGGAUAUUCACUGGUCUUCGCAUGGGGGUUGGUGGAAAGUGUUUUUCUGGUGGGGGAUGGGCUCGCGGCCUAUCAGCUUGUUGGUGGGGUGAUGGCCUACCAAGGCUUUGACGGGUAGCCGGCCUGAGCGGGUGGCUGGUCUGAGAGGGAGUGAGAUACGGCCCAGACUCCUACGGGAGGCAGAAGUGGGGAGGAGGGCGCAGUGGGCGAAAGCGUGAUGCAGCGGCGACGCGUGAGGGAUGGAGGCCUUCGGGUUGUGAAGCUCUUACGGUUAUGGUGAAGCCGUAACAAUGGUUGUGGUGAGGGUAGUGGGUAAAGAAGCGCCGGCUAACUACGUG